ACACGUAGGAGACAAGCGUUAUUCGGAUUUACUGGGCGUAAAGCGCGUGCAGGCGGUCUGACAAGUUGGAUGUGAAAGCUCCCGGCUUAACUGGGAGAGGUCGUUCAAAACUAUCAGACUAGAGAGUGGUAGAGGAAGGCGGAAUUCCGGGUGUAGUGGUGAAAUGCGUAGAUAUCCGGAGGAACACCAGUGGCGAAAGCGGCCUUCUGGACCAAAUCUGACGCUCAGACGCGAAAGCUAGGGUAGC
rnacentral:rRNA from 1 species